rnacentral:rRNA from 1 species
AUGAACGCUGGCGGCGUGCCUCAUACAUGCAAGUCGAGCGAACAGACGAGGAGCUUGCUCCUCUGACGUUAGCGGCGGACGGGUGGGUAACACGUGGAUAACCUACCUAUAAGACUGGGAUAACUUCGGGAAACCGGAGCUAAUACCGGAUAAUAUAUUGAACCGCAUGGUUCAAUAGUGAAAGACGGUUUUGCUGUCACUUAUAGAUGGAUCCGCGCCGCAUUAGCUAGUUGGUAAGGUAACGGCUUACCAAGGCGACGAUGCGUAGCCGACCUGAGAGGGUGAUCGGCCACACUGGAACUGAGACACGGUCCAGACUCCUACGGGAGGCAGCAGUAGGGAAUCUUCCGCAAUGGGCGAAAGCCUGACGGAGCAACGCCGCGUGAGUGAUGAAGGUCUUCGGAUCGUAAAACUCUGUUAUUAGGGAAGAACAAAUGUGUAAGUAACUAAGCACGUCUUGACGGUACCUAAUCAGAAAGCCACGGCUAACUACGUG